GAUGAAGAACGUAGCAAAAUGCGAUAAGUAGUGUGAAUUGCAGAAUUCAGUGAAUCAUCGAAUCUUUGAACGCACAUUGCGCCCCUUGGUAUUCCAUGGGGCAUGCCUGUUCGAGCGUCAUUUGUACCUUCAAGCUUUGCUUGGUGUUGGGUGUUUGUCUCGCCUCCGCGUGUAGACUCGCCUCAAAACAAUUGGCAGCCGGCGUAUUGAUUUCGGAGCGCAGUACAUCUCGCGCUUUGCACUCACAACGACGACGUCCAAAAGUACAUUUUUACACUCUUGACCUCGGAUCAGGUAGGGAUACCCGCUGAACUUAAGCAUAUCAAUAAGCGGAGGA
rnacentral:misc_RNA from 1 species